GAUGAGCGCUGGCGGCGUGCCUAAUACAUGCAAGUCGAACGGGGAGUAGCAAUACUCUUAGUGGCGAACGGGUGAGUAACGCGUUGGUACCUGCCCCGAAGCGGGGGAUAACGGACCGAAAGGUCCGCUAAUACCCCAUGUGCUCGGUAACGAGUAAAGGUGAAAACCACUUUGGGAGGGGCCUGCGUCCCAUCAGCUAGUUGGUAAGGUAACGGCUUACCAAGGCGAUGACGGGUAGGGGACCUGAGAGGGUGGCCCCCCACAAUGGAACUGAAACACGGUCCAUACACCUACGGGUGGCAGCAGUAGGGAAUAUUGGUAAUGGGCGCAAGCCUGAACCAGCAACGCCGCGUGUGCGAUGACGGCCUUCGGGUUGUAAAGCACUUUUGACUGGGACGAGGAAGGACGGUACCGGUCGAAUCAGCCUCGGCUAACUACGUG
rnacentral:rRNA from 1 species